rnacentral:rRNA from 1 species
GAGUGAGCGGCAAACGGGUGAGUAACGCGUGGGAAUCUACCCAUCUCUACGGAAUAACACAGAGAAAUUUGUGCUAAUACCGUAUACGUCCUAUUGGAGAAAGAUUUAUCGGAGAUGGAUGAGCCCGCGUUGGAUUAGCUAGUUGGUGAGGUAACGGCUCACCAAGGCGACGAUCCAUAGCUGGUCUGAGAGGAUGAUCAGCCACACUGGGACUGAGACACGGCCCAGACUCCUACGGGAGGCAGCAGUGGGGAAUAUUGGACAAUGGGGGCAACCCUGAUCCAGCCAUGCCGC